UGGGGAAUAUUGGACAAUGGACCAAAAGUCUGAUCCAGCAAUUCUGUGUGCACGAUGAAGGUCUUAGGAUUGUAAAGUGCUUUCAAUUGGGAAGAAAAAAAUGACGGUACCAAUAGAAGAAGCGACGGCUAAAUACGUG
rnacentral:rRNA from 1 species